rnacentral:rRNA from 1 species
GGAGUUUGGACCGUGUCUCAGUUCCAAUGUGGGGGACCUUCCUCUCAGAACCCCUACUGAUCGUUGGCCAGGUGGGCCGUUACCCCGCCUGCUGCCUAAUCAGACGCAUCCCCAUCCCUUAGCGAUGAAUCUUUGCUUCACGUUAGAUGCCCGCUGUGAAGAACAUAGGGUAUUAAUCCGACUUUCGCCGGGCUAUGCCCUACUAAGGGGAAGGUUGGAUACGCGUUACUCACCCGUGCGCCGGUCGCCAUCAGAGAAAGCAAGCUUCCUCCAUGAUGCCCCUCGACUUGCAUGUGUUAAGCCUGUAGCUAGCGUUCAUC